AGAUUGAACGCUGGCGGCAUGCCUUACACAUGCAAGUCGAACGGCAGCACGGGAGCAAUCCUGGUGGCGAGUGGCGAACGGGUGAGUAAUACAUCGGAACGUGCCCAGUAGUGGGGGAUAACCCGGCGAAAGCCGGACUAAUACCGCAUACGACCUACGGGUGAAAGCAGGGGAUCGCAAGACCUUGCGCUAUCGGAGCGGCCGAUGUCAGAUUAGCUUGUUGGUGGGGUAAAAGCCCACCAAGGCGACGAUCUGUAGC
rnacentral:rRNA from 1 species